UAGGGAAUCUUCCACAAUGGACGCAAGUCUGAUGGAGCAACGCCGCGUGAGUGAAGAAGGCUUUCGGGUCGUAAAACUCUGUUAUUGAAGAAGAACGUGUGUGACAGUAACUGGUCAUGCAGUGACGGUAUUCAAUCAGAAAGCCACGGCUAACUACGUGCCAGCAGCCGCGGUAAUACGUAGGUGGCAAGCGUUGUCCGGAUUUAUUGGGCGUAAAGCGAGUGCAGGCGGUCUUUUAAGUCUGAUGUGAAAGCCUUCGGCUUAACCGAAGAAGGGCAUCGGAAACUGGGAGACUUGAGUGCAGAAGAGGAGAGUGGAACUCCAUGUGUAGCGGUGAAAUGCGUAGAUAUAUGGAAGAACACCAGUGGCGAAGGCGGCUCUCUGGUCUGUAACUGACGCUGAGGCUCGAAAGCGUGGGUAGCAAACAGGAUUAGAUACCCUGGUAGUCCACGACGUAAACGAUGAAUACUAAGUGUUGGAGGGUUUCCGCCCUUCAGUGCUGCAGCUAACGCAUUAAGUAUUCCGCCUGGGGAGUACGACCGCAAGGUUGAAAC
rnacentral:rRNA from 1 species